CUACCCUAGCCCUCGCUCUCACUCUCCUACACCGCCAACCCGCAUCCCUAGCCCGCGCCUCCCCUCUCCGCCCCCGCCACGCCCCCCUGCCUCCCCUCUCCUCCUCCGCCGCGCGCCCCCGCCUCCCUUCUCCCGCGCCCUCGCCUCCUCUCUCCUGCGCAGCCACGAGCCACCGCCUCCCAUCUCCUCCGCCGGCCUGCCCGGCUCCCCUAGACGCCGCCGUCGACUCCCCCUCCCUGGAUCCGCCAUAGACCCGCCUCCCUCGCCCCUCCCCCUCCCGGAUCUGCCUCCUCGACCCGCCGUGGCCGCUCCCUCGACCAGCCGCCGCUCCUCUUCCUCCGGCUAACCUCAGCAACAACCUAGCCGCCUACACAUCCACAGAGGUUAGCACAAUGUCCUCCUUUCCUCCCCAUAGAUCUAUGCACAAUGCAUAUUUUUAGGUUCUUGAUGUUGCCAUGACACCAAUUUCUACAAGCUACAAGGCUUCCUUGAGAGGCAAUAAAAGAUAUUCGGUAAUUUCUUCCCAGAAUAAUAAAAAUAAUUGAUUCAGCUUGAGGUGUGUAGGAGCAGAAUGCGGUAUGUAAACAUACAUCUUUGUCUGCCCCUUGGCUUUAGAAUUUAAUAAUUACUCUUUAUCAUGGUUGAUUGUCCUCAGAUUGUUUGUAUGCAGAUAAAGAUCGUAUUUUGCAUCUGAACACAACAGCCCAUCAAGGAGAAAGAGUGGCAAGUGCAACAGGAAGUGGUAAAGAUGAUGGGGACCAGAGGAGAUAGAUGCUGUCAAGAGGUCCAUUGCAAGGCCUUAUUAAAUAUGCUUUUAUGAGAUUAUUAGGCAACCCUUAUUAAAUACUGGAGAUCUCCGGAUUUCAAAGAUGUUGGUUAUAAUUGCACGGAGCCAGGGCAAUGCAAAGGGAAGGAACUAAGAGAGGAAAAGAAGAUACUAGUUUAUUUAACUAAGAAAUUCAUAGAUUUGGAAGAUUGGCAUCAUAUUGCACAUAAGCUUAUGUAUUGUGCUGCUAUGAUGACAAGAGAAAUAUUAGCCAUGUGUAGUCAAAAAGUUAUUUUUAAUUAAUGUUAAUAUGUGCUGAAUUCUGGACCCAAAAAACCUGUGGUGACCCUAAUUAGAAAAGCUGAAAAUACAGAAAAAAUCAAACAUUAUAUUCCUGUCA